GCCCCUGUAGUUUAGUCUGGAUAAGCCAUUUUGUGCAAGUAAACGACAAAAGCGCUUGCGGAAAGUAAACCAGAAAGAAUGCGAGCUUGCGGAGCUUGUGACCCGGGUUCGAAUCCCGGCGGGGGCA
rnacentral:tRNA from 1 species